ACAGACACUGCUUCCGAGUUCUCAACUCCCUUCUCCGGACUAGACCCAGUAUGCUGAUUCAGAAUUGGAUGCCGCGUUGUGAAUUGGAACGCUGUAAACCAGAACGCACUGCCUGUCGCAUUAUGGGAGAUCUCGAACUACUCGAUUCAGUCGCGCUAGCUGUUUCCCGCCAUCAAAGUCGUUCUAUUUCCUGCCAUCAGCGUCGUUUUGGAACUGCGGCCGAGUUCGGUGGCAAGUAUGCAUACAUUAUUUACUGUAAUUUUCCUGAUUAGCUUCCAGUGCAACGCCUCAAGCAUCUGCCGGCUGUUUCCAGUUGAGAAGCACUUCUGACACUGCUUGGAAGCUCCUGGUUCCUCCAACCACUCCAGAGUUGGUUGGAAAUGCUAACAUGAAGCUUUAGUGUGAUAAUUUAUUAGCUAGAGAAUGAUCUUUAGAAGAGGGUAGGUGGAUAGUUCCGAUAACGUACAGCAGUAUGAACAUUGAAUAGAAGUUAAAAAUGAGCGUAGGGCCAUUAAUGCGACAGUACAAAGUCGAACGCACACCUUUUGCCUAACCCGUACGAUGUACGCGGAGAUUUGAAGUAUGUCUUCAAGUCUACAGGCAAAAGAUGUGCGUCCGCCUUUUGCUCAUUACUGACUGCGGUUGUGGAAUAGUUCUAGCGAGGUUUCAUCACUACCUAAAGCCCCACGUUGCGAGAGCAUUUCCAGUCGAUGGUGUGUUAUAAUGCAAUUCUUCUUUACCCAACUAUUGUGUUGCUUCUCCCUUUAUCACACUAAAGCUUCAUGUUGGCAUUUCCAACCAACUCUGAAGUACAAUCAAUAUAUAGACUGUUCACUGCCUGAUGCCGAUCAAAUUUUCAGCAAUUCGACCUAUGUUAGUCAUUGCGAUGAUGCUGGGAACCCGGAACGCGCAGUAGGAAGCCCCCAAUCCCUCCGUCUCAGUCCUGCCAUCAGUAGCCUUUGUACGUCAUAGUCCUGCUGUCGGUUGUGGAGAGGGGGUCUUCCAAUCCACUCGCUAAAUAUGGCGAGUAUUCAAUCAGACUUGAUGAUGGUCAGUUAUUGCCUGAUGUAUGCAUCUGUGAUUUCCAGGGAGAACAGUCGAUCGAUUCCUUGCCGCAAGCAGGACGUCGUGAUCUUCUACCAAAACGCCGGUGGAAUGAAUUCUGGUGUUGCCGAUGAUUUAUCGAAUCGUUGCUACGAUGUAAUUGUUCUGUGCGAAACCAGAAGACUUGAAAAUGUAUCAUGAGAAGUUUUUGGAGGUCUCUGAUCACCCGAAGGUCUUUGGAAUAUUUUCUCAGUCACCUGGUAUCAUGAGAGAAUAUCUAAAAGAUGUGAUUUGCAUUGUUGGACAGUUUGAGAUCUUCAGAAUAGUACCUAAUCAACCUGAAAUCUCGAAAAAGGAUUCCAGAGGAUUUUAGGGGAAUCUUAAACACAUGAAGGUCUUUGGAAUGAUACCUGAUCAUGGGGAUAUCUGAUCACCUGAUGGUCUUCGGAAUAAUUUCUGAGCUACCUGGUAUCAUGAGAGAACAUCUGAUAAACGUGAUUUGAAUUGUUGGAUAGUUGAAGAUCUUAAGAAUAAUACCUGAUCUACCUGAAGUCUUGAAAAAAGAAAUCAAGAGGACUUCAUGGAGAUCUUAGAACACCCCAAGAUCAUUUUCUGAGCAGAGUGGUAUCAUAUGAGAGAAUAUCUGUUUGAUGUAAAAGACGCAAGCGCUUUCAUAAAAUUAUGUGAAGAUCUAUGCAUUUCCAUGAAACUCUAUAAUAUGCUCUUCUAAGAAAUCACCUAAACUUCAAUGGUACUCCGAGAAUUUUUUUAAAAUACAAGUUCAAUGAAGUUUACUGUUCUCUAUGAAGAUCUCUGAUUUUUGACGUAGGAUUACAUUUUUCGGCAACAUAUUGGUGGUGGAAUUUGAAAAAAAUCAAAAUCGGCCGAGUUACGAAAAAUGGUCAGGUUUUGACCACUUAUAACUCUGUCAAUAGCGGAUGAAUUUUAAUUCUAAACAAUCCACGAAUCUGCUAAAAUGAACACUAUCAAUUUUCAAAAGGUCACUAUUGAAAAUUAAACAAAUGUCCAACUGUUACAAUGGUGAUCAAAAUUAUCAGCGAUUGCCUACGAAAAGCGUUUUCCCUAACACAGAUUUCGAAAUCGAAUUCCAUCCGGUCUCGCUGAACGCUGCUUAUUAAAUCACCGUGUGUGGUGACGUCCGAUCGGUCGUCAUCAACAGCAACAGCAGCAGCAACAGCAGCAGUGCUGCAGCCCACAUGAGCGACCAUUCAUCAAAGAAAGAGGAAGAAGCCGCACCGCUACUGAUCGGAUUCAGUAGCUCUUCGUGCGUCGCUGUGGGCCAUCUAUGCCAAGCGCGUCACCCUCGUUCCAAACAACAUACAGCUCGCCAGCCUCAUCUCUGUUGAACACCCUAAUAGCGCAGCAUUACUGCACCAUCACGACAAAACGGUUAUUUUCAGGAACACCAAAAAUCAUUGUUGUUUGAGAGUUAAUUUUCGUUGGACGUUCGCUCGCAUUGCUGCCAGCCACAUCACCUCCCAAAGCUCUUUGAUAAUGUACCCAGCAAUCAAACGUUUGUGGUCAUAUGCGUAACAGUAUUGAAGAGGUACGUACAAAUUCUCGCAAUGACCGAAUACCAUAUGACCUUGUCAAUUAACCAGAAACACGUCGAAUUAAGGUAAGGUUUUCUCCAGAAAAAAAAGUCUAAGGGAGGGAAUUUAUAUGAUUGAUCCCGAAUAUCUCGCGAAUGGAAAAUUUCAGCAAAAAAUUCCUCCAAUCAGUUUUCGAUUUUUUUUUUUUUUUAUUAUCUAUUGAAUAAACCCAAAAUUCCGUGCGU